GAUGAAGAACGCAGCGAAAUGCGAUAAGUAGUGUGAAUUGCAGAAUUCAGUGAAUCAUCGAAUCUUUGAACGCACAUUGCGCCCCUUGGUAUUCCAUGGGGCAUGUCUGUUCGAGCGUCAUCUACAACCCUCAAGCCCUGCUUGGUGUUGGGCGUCUGUCCCGCCCCCGCGCGCGGACUCGCCCCAAAUCCAUUGGCGGCGGCCCUUGCCUCCCUCUCGCGCAGCACAUUGCGCUUCUCGAGGCGUCGCGGGCCGCGCUCCACGAAGCACGCAAACCAGUCUUUGACCUCGGAUCAGGUAGGGAUACCCGCUGAACUUAAGCAUAUCAAUAAGCGGAGGA
rnacentral:misc_RNA from 1 species